rnacentral:rRNA from 1 species
GGGGGGGGGGGGGGGGGGGGGGGGGGGGGGCGGGGGGGGGGGGGGGGGGGGGGCUGGCGCCGGGGGGCGGGUGGCGGACGGGGGGGUAAUACAUCGGGAGAUGUCCUGGAGUGGGGGAUAGCCCGGCGAAAGCCGGAUUAAUACCGCAUACGAUCUACGGAUGAAAGCGGGGGACCUUCGGGCCUCGCGCUAUGGGGUCGGCCGCUGGCUGAUUAGCUAGUUGGUGGGGUAAAGGCCUACCAAGGCGACGAUCCGUAGCUGGUCUGAGAGGACGACCAGCCACACUGGGACUGAGACACGGCCCAGACUCCUACGGGAGGCAGCAGUGGGGAAUUUUGGACAAUGGGCGAAAGCCUGAUCCAGCAAUGCCGCGUGUGUGAAGAAGGCCUUCGGGUUGUAAAGCACUUUUGUCCGGAAAGAAAUCCUUGGCCCUAAUACGGUCGGGGGAUGACGGUACCGGAAGAAUAAGCACCGGCUAACUACGUG